CCUACGGGAGGCAGCAGUAAGGAAUAUUGGUCAAUGGGCGAAAGCCUGAACCAGCCACGCCGCGUGAAGGAAGACGGCCCUACGGGUUGUAAACUUCUUUUCUACGGGAAUAAACCUCAGGACGUGUCCUGAGCUGAAGGUACCGUAGGAAUAAGGAUCGGCUAACUCCGUGCCAGCAGCCGCGGUAAUACGGAGGAUCCAAGCGUUAUCCGGAUUUAUUGGGUUUAAAGGGUGCGUAGGUGGGAUGAUAAGUCAGAGGUGAAAGCUAGCAGCUUAACUGUUAAAUUGCCUUUGAUACUGUUAUUCUUGAGUGUAGUUGGCGUUGGCGGAAUGUGACAUGUAGCGGUGAAAUGCGUAGAUAUGUCACAGAACACCGAUCGCGAAGGCAGCUAACGAAGCUAUCACUGACACUGAUGCACGAAAGCGUGGGGAGCAAACAGGAUUAGAUACCCUGGUAGUCCACGCCGUAAACGAUGAUGACUCGACGUUGGCAAUAUACCGUUCAGCGUCCAAGCGAAAGCGUUAAGUUAUCCACCUGGGGAGUACGAUCGCAAGGUUGAAACUCAAAGGAAUUGACGG
rnacentral:rRNA from 1 species